GACGAACGCUGGCGGCGUGCUUAACACAUGCAAGUCGAACGGUGAAGCGCCUUCCUUUUUGGUGGGUGUGGAUGAGUGGCGAACGGGUGAGUAACACGUGAGUAACCUGCCCCCUUCUUCUGGAUAACCGCAUGCAAGUGUGGCUAAUACGGGAUAUUCUGGGUCUGUCGCAUGAUGGGUCUGGGAAAGAUAUUGUUUCGGUGGGGGAUGGGCUCGCGGCCUAUCAGCUUGUUGGUGGGGUGAUGGCCUACCAAGGCGGUGACGGGUAGCCGGCCUGAGAGGGUGGACGGCAACACUGGGAAGGAGACACGGCCCAGACUCCUACGGGAGGCAGCAGUGGGGAAUAUGGCACAAUGGGCGCAAGCCUGAUGCAGCGACGCCGCGUGAGGGAUGGAGGCCUUCGGGUUGUGAACCUCUUUCGCCAGUGAAGCAGGCCUGCCUCGUUUGUGGGUGGGUUGACGGUAGCUGGAUAAGAAGCGCCGGCUAACUACGUG
rnacentral:rRNA from 1 species